AGAACGGAUCAGGUACAGGUGAGUUCAGGCCGCCAGAACGGAUCAGGUACAGGUGAGUUCAGGCCGCCAGAACGGAUCAGGUACAGGUGAGUUCAGGCCGCCAGAAGGGAUCAGGUACAGGUGAGUUCAAGCCGCCAGAAGGGAUCAGGUACAGGUGAGUUCAGGCCGCCAGAACGGAUCAGGUACAGGUGAGUUCUGGCUCCUCGGAUCAGGUA